UGGGAUUAUGAUACAAUUUCUCCUGAUGACCCAAUUGCCCAGGGAAGUGAAUACUUUGAUGCAGUGGUCGGGACCCAAACCAAGAGCAUAUAUGGUAAAUAUGGUGAAGUGCAAGUAUCUGUCACUUGCGAGUAAUUAAGGAAGCAGCACUUCCUUUGCCCAACCUUGCCCACCGGUUGGUCGGUUGGGAUACAUAGUAAAUAAAUGGGGUGGGAAGGGGAGGAAUAUUGUUAUGCCGUAAUAUAUAUAUAUAUAUAUAUGUCACUUGCGAGUAAUUAAGGAAGCAGCACUUCCUUUGCCCAACCUUGCCCACCGGUUGGUCGGUUGGCAUACAUAGUAAAUAAAUGGGGUGGGAAGAGGAGGAGUAUUGUUGUGCCGUAAUAUAUAUAUAUAUAUAUAUCUUGAAUUGUUGGUAGGAGUUGUGUCUCUGUUAGUCGAUGGCAUCUUGUAUCG
rnacentral:lncRNA from 1 species